rnacentral:miRNA from 1 species
AUAAUUAAGAUGGAAUUA